UUUUAAUUUUUAAAAGACCUUUUUUGAAAGGUAUACUUAAAGAGGGGCUUGCGGCACAUUAGUUAGUUGGUAGGGUAAAAGCCUACCAAGACCAUGAUGUGUAGCUGGACUGAGAGGUUGAACAGCCACAUUGGGACUGAGACACGGCCCAAACUCCUACGGGAGGCAGCAGUAGGGAAUUUUCGGCAAUGGAGGAAACUCUGACCGAGCAACGCCGCGUGAACGAUGAAGUAUUUCGGUAUGUAAAGUUCUUUUAUUGGAGAAGAAAAAAUAGUGGAAAAACUAUCUUGACGAUAUUCAAUGAAUAAGCCCCGACAAACUAUGUGCCAGCAGCCGCGGUAAUACAUAGGGGGCGAGCGUUAUCCGGAAUUAUUGGGCGUAAAGGGUGCGUAGGCGGUUUGGUAAGUCUAUAGUUUAAUUUCAGUGCUUAACACUGUUCUGCUAUAGAAACUAUCAGACUAGAGUGAGAUAGAGGCAAGUGGAAUUCCGUGUGUAGCGGUAAAAUGCGUAAAUAUAUGGAGGAACACCAGAGGCGUAGGCGGCUUGCUGGGUCCUUACUGACGCUGAGGCACGAAAGCGUGGGGAGCAAACAGGAUUAGAUACCCUGGUAGUCCACGCCGUAAACGAUGAGUACUAAGUGUCGGGGAAACUCGGUACUGAAGUUAACACAUUAAGUACUCCGCCUGAGUAGUACGUACGCAAGUAUGAAACUUAAAGGAAUUGACGGGACUCCGCACAAGCGGUGGAUCAUGUUGUUUAAUUCGAAGAUACACGAAAAACCUUACCAGGUCUUGACAUACUCUGCAAAGCUAUAGCAAUAUAGCGGAGGUUAUCAGGGAUACAGGUGGUGCAUGGUUGUCGUCAGCUCGUGUCGCGAGAUGUUAGGUUAAGUCCUAAAACGAGCGCAACCCUUGUCACUAGUUGCCAGCAUGUUAUGAUGGGCACUUUAGUGAGACUGCCAAUGAAAAAUUGGAGGAAGGUGAGGAUCACGUCAAAUCAUCAUGCCCCUUAUGAUCUGGGCUACAAACGUGAUACAAUGGCUGUUACAAAGAGUAGCUAAAACGCGAGUUUAUAGCCAAUCUCAUAAAAGCAGUCUCAGUUCGGAUUGAAGUCUGCAACUCGACUUCAUGAAGUUGGAAUCGCUAGUAAUCGCGAAUCAGCAUGUCGCGGUGAAUACGUUCU
rnacentral:rRNA from 1 species